rnacentral:snRNA from 8 species
AUCGCUUCUCGGCCUUUUGGCUCAGAUCAAGUGUAGUAUCUGUUCUUAUCAGUUUAAUAUCUGAUACGUCCCCCAUCGGGGGACUACAUAUUAAAUGGAUUUUUCGAACAGGGAGUCGGAAAUGGGGGUUGCUCCGUCCGCUCCACGCAUCGACCCGGUAUUGCAGUACCUCCGGGAAUGGUGCAACACUU